AGUUGAUCCACCAGAGCUUCUGGCCGCCGCCGGAGCUGCUGUCGGGCCGGUUCAAAAUCGCAGCUGCUUCGUGUUGAAAUUCCGAGCUGUUUAUGCUGCUGCGAAAAUGUGUGGGGCUGUGCUUUGAAGCUGCCUUUGAUUUCGAGUUGAGGUGAAAAGAACUUAUGAGGCGUGUGGAUUAUGGAUUUGCGUUUUGAGGAUAUGGGCGCAGAAGUUACGAAGAGCUUAUUUAAUUGUUGUGAUGC